rnacentral:rRNA from 1 species
CCCUACGGGGCGCAGCAGGCGCGAAAACUUCACAAUGCUGGAAAGCGCGAUGAGGGGAUCCCAAGUGCUUGCACGUAAGUCUAAGUCUGUUUUUCUGUUUAAAAAGCAGAGAGAGUAAGGGCUGGGUAAGACGGGUGCCGGCGGCGGCGGUAAUACGUGCAGCUGAAGUGGUGACCGUUAUUAUUGGGCUUAAAACGUCGGUAGCCGGCUGAGUAAAUGCUUGGGUAAAUAGUGUGGCUUAACUAUACGAAUUCCGGGUAGACUGCUUAGCUUGGGACCGGAAGAAGU